UGUAGCACUGGUGUUGCCUUGAUAGUUCUCAUCUUCCUUAUGGGCAUUUGUUGUUUAUUAAAAGUACUUUGGAUUAAUUUAAUAAAGAACAGCUUAGCCGAUUAUGUGAAAUCCAGGAAGUUUUCACUGUACUUAUAAUAAUGGGUCUAUGGUACAAAGCUAAAUGAUGGCAAGUUCAUUCGUUCAGAGGGCUUCAUAGUGAACCAGCAGAAACCAUGAGAAGGGUAAACCUGCAGAACCCUGAAUGACCAGCUGGCUGACUUCCUGACAGGCCCGCGUUCGCCCUCGUCUGUCUAACGUGCUGUUCGUACAGGUGAAGGCCUCCGGUCAGCCUCCC
ensembl:lncRNA